GGGUCAGAUAAGUACCCAGCAUCAGCAUAACCAAUAAGAUCGGGACUACAAUCUUUAGAAUAUAAUAAGCUUGUAUGUUUGGUCUUAUUUCGAUGUCUCCUGGUAAGAGGAAAACUAUAUCUUGCUAACAAAUUGAUCGAAAAGGCUAUAUCAGGCCUUGUUGUAUUUGUAAGAUAUAUGAGUGCACAAAUUACACUAAGAUAUGGUACUUCGUAACAAAUCUAAAUUAGUAUGUUUU
rnacentral:lncRNA from 1 species